CUCAUCAGGACACGUAAGAUUCAAAUAUGCAGUUUCUUAACUUCUGGGUUCACAUUGCCAUUAUAUUUGGCAGAACACAGUCUUGAAAAAUAUAUUAAUUUUAUCACACCCUUUCAUGAAUACAGCUAUACCAUAGCCCCAGCACUAUGUAGCUUUCGGACAUUGCACGAUAAUGCAACCACAUGCAUAAUUCUUUGUUCACCCCCUCGCCACGUUGAGGCACAGGAUAUGGAGGGGGGGAUAUGGAGUACUGCAAUUUCCAGGCUCAUAUCCGAAAUAGAGCUCAAGAAGGAAUUCCAAAUCACUGCUACAGAUUGCUCCUUGUGGCAUCACAAGGAACCAACACCUCAUAUGAGGCUACAAGACAGCGAUCUGCCUCCGAGAAUCUGCAGCCAUGUGCUUUGAAACGGGACUCCACAAGUUCUCUAUUUCAGCACAUCCAGUCAUCAUUCACCAGACAGUGAUGUGGAACUAUCUGACAUCAGUUCCAAGUGAAACUUGCACAGAACUUGCAACUACUCUGACCAUCCUGGUACCCUCUCCCAACCCCGCACAGUACGACAACCUGACAAUCCAAAGCACCACGGGUGACAAUUUUGAAGAUGGAGAACAGCUGCAAGUUCUAACUAUUGUGUCUGACUUUAACAACAAACUGGUGAAGUCGUUUACGACAAAAGCUGAUCAACAUCACAACAUAAAAUACAUGGCAGAAAAAUACACAUAGACAGAGCCCAUCAUCAGUCAAAGAACCAAAGAAAACAGUCCAAGCAAAUGUUUACUUUGCUGAAGACCUGCUUCUUGGUUGUGUCAGCUGAUUAGGGUUACUGCCAUGCAAGAUGCAGCUAACUCUACAUACUAUCAAAACAACAUCAAGAACAAGAAAAGCACAGUCAAUGAAAAUACAAAACACUCCUGAAACAGAGAAAGAACAGGAUUAGUAGAACACACUUUGAGAGAGCUGCAACUUGCGUACCACAGCCUGGCACUAGUAAGCUAUACCAGCUAACCUGAAUAAACCAAAUUCUUAUAAUGGAACUGGUUACAAAUUUGAAAAUAACAGUUGAAACUGCAAAGCAACUGUGAAAAUUCUUCUCACAGGGCAUAGUUUUGAAACACUCUCUGAACUAGCAAACACCAUGUGACAGCAAUCACAUAAUGUAGCACAUGUAUCAUAUUUACGGAGACUGGAAAAUCUUCAGCCACCAGUUAGACGGUUAACCGACUUGAUUUGGUGGAACACGUUAGUGAAGACCCUCCAGCCACUUGAUUGAUGGUGGCAGAAUGUAUGCAGGGACAGAAAAUUGUAAAUUCUUAAUUUUGCAGCAACAAUCAGUGGCAUGUGAUCUCGGAAAGCGGCCAUUUCAACACGAGGAACUGGAGCUCGGAGCUUGUUACACAACUCUUAUUCACACAGUAGCCAGUGGAUCGAGUCUUUGCCGAGUCAGAGGACUGAUAGUUUACUGCCAGAACACCGGAUCUGAAACACAAGACCAUGUAGAAUAAAUCAAGAUGGCUACUCAAGAGAACAUCUCAUUUACCUAACAUCUAUUUCAUGCAUGUGUUGACGUGGGUACAAAUCUUGGCCGGCAGAUUCUUCGUUAUUUCCCUCGGUUCCUCCAACCAAAUGCUGGGAUACUAUCUCAUCCCUCUCCUUCCAUAUCAAUUAUUCCAAUCAUUUAUCUUUAUAUCAAUCAAAGCUGUAUGCUGACAGCGUCGUUAUAUAAACCAUAAAUGAAUGAAAAUAAGAUAUUUUUACGGAAUUCA